UCGUCGCCACACUCUCGGCUUCGCUUGGUGCAGGUCGGGAAUCGAUCGAUCGGUGAUGGGACGCCGGAUCCCUCUGCUUCCGGAAUCCGAUCGGAUCUCCACUGGUCCCGCCGGCACGCUUCCCCUCUUGCAUCAAGUGAAUUCGAGAAUACUUGGCGAAAAGGA
rnacentral:miRNA from 15 species